GAUGAACGCUGGCGGCGUGCCUAAUACAUGCCAGUCGAGCGAACGGACGAGAAGCUUGCUCCUCUGAUGUUAGCGGCGGACGGGUGAGUAACACGUGGAUAACCUACCUAUAAGACUGGGAUAACUUCGGGAAACCGGAGCUAAUACCGGAUAAUAUUUUGAACCGCAUGGUUCAAUAGUGAAAGACGGUCUUGCUGUCACUUAUAGAUGGAUCCGCGCUGCAUUAGCUAGUUGGUAAGGUAACGGCUUACCAAGGCAACGAUGCAUAGCCGACCUGAGAGGGUGAUCGGCCACACUGGAACUGAGACACGGUCCAGACUCCUACGGGAGGCAGCAGUAGGGAAUCUUCCGCAAUGGGCGAAAGCCUGACGGAGCAACGCCGCGUGAGUGAUGAAGGUCUUCGGAUCGUAAAACUCUGUUAUUAGGGAAGAACAAAUGUGUAAGUAACUGUGCACAUCUUGACGGUACCUAAUCAGAAAGCCACGGCUAACUACGUG
rnacentral:rRNA from 1 species